rnacentral:rRNA from 1 species
UCCAUUAGGUGAACUAUAGAAUACUCAAGCUAUGCAUCCAACGCGUUGGGAGCUCUCCCAUAUGGUCGACCUGCAGGCGGCCGCGAAUUCACUAGUGAUUUCCGGUUGAUCCUGCCGGACCCGACCGCUAUCGGGGUAGGGCUAAGCCGUGGGAGUCGAACGCCCCGCCGCUGCGGGGCGUGGCGGACGGCUGAGUAACGCGUGGCUAACCUACCCUCGGGACGGGGAUAACUCCGGGAAACUGGAGCUAAUCCCCGAUAGGCGGGGAGGCCUGGAAUGGUUCCCCGCCGAAAGGUGCCGCCGGGGGUUAUCGCCGGCGGUGCGCCCGAGGAUGGGGCUGCGUCCCAUCACGGUAGUUGGCGGGGUAAUGGCCCGCCAAGCCUACGACGGGUAGGGGCCGUGAGAGCGGGAGCCCCCAGAUGGGCACUGAGACAAGGGCCCAGGCCCUACGGGGCGCACCAGGCGCGAAACCUCCGCAAUGCGGGCAACCGUGACGGGGCUACCCCGAGUGCCCCCCUCGUGGGGGCUUUUCCCCGCUGUAGGUAGGCGGGGGAAUAAGCGGGGGGCAAGACUGGUGUCAGCCGCCGCGGUAAUACCAGCCCCGCGAGUGGUCGGGGUGCUUACUGGGCCUAAAGCGCCCGUAGCCGGCUCGACAAGUCCCCUCCUAAAGCCCCGGGCUCAACCCGGGGAGUGGAGGGGAUACUGUCGGGCUAGGGGGCGGGAGAGGCCGAGGGUACUCCCGGGGUAGGGGCGAAAUCCACUAAUCCCGGGAGGACCACCAGUGGCGAAGGCGCUCGGCUGGAACGCGCCCGACGGUGAGGGGCGAAAGCCGGGGGAGCGAACCGGAUUAGAUACCCGGGUAGUCCCGGCUGUAAACGAUGCGGGCUAGGUGUUGGGCGGGCGAGAGGGCCCGCCCAGUGCCGCAGGGAAGCCGUUAAGCCCGCCGCCUGGGGAGUACGGCCGCAAGGCUGAAACUUAAAGGAAUUGGCGGGGGAGCACCACAAGGGGUGGAGCCCUGCGGCUUAAUUUGGAGUCAACGCCGGGGAACCUUCCACCGGGGGCGACAGCAGGAUGAUGGGCCAGGCCUGAGACUUACUGACGCGCUGAGGGGAGUGCAUGCGGUUCGCCAGCUCGGUGCGGUGUGAAGGGGUG